rnacentral:lncRNA from 1 species
CUCUGACUUGAUGAUCCUGUGACUGUAAAUAUUUUAGAUUGGGGCUAUCAAGAUUUUAGAUCUCACUGUCAUGAUCUCAUCAUGGUCCUAAAAUUAUUAUCCUAAUCUAUGGGGUUUAUCAUAAUCAUAAAAAUAUGAUGCAGCAAAUGAUAAAACAUAAUACCUCAUAAACAAAAUAACUAAUGUCAUGCAAAUGAGUAGGAAGAAAAUACAGAAAGGUCCCUUCAUAUCACCCAUG